GUCCAUGGCCAAGCCACCCUGAACAAGCUCAAUGUCUGAUCUUGGAAGUUAAGCAGGGUCAGGCCUGGUUAGUAGUACUUGGAUGGCAGACCACCUAGGAAGACCAGGUGCUGUAGGCA
rnacentral:rRNA from 1 species